UUCUAAAUUUUUUGCUUUAGAUCACCAUGUUGUUCCAUUGGAAGUACAAGCCUUCAUAUAGCAAACCUCUUGACAAUAGGUACAGAGUUUUUAGGCUGCCUUAAGAGUUUCCUUAGAAAAGGGGUGAUGGCCUUCCAUACUGCUCUCAGGCAGUAACUUAAAUGCCCUAAACCAAUUCACCUAACACCUUUCUCACAAUAAAUGAACACAGGUUUUCAUUUAUAUGGGUUGGCUUGGUUUGAAAUGAAUGAUGAAAACA